rnacentral:rRNA from 1 species
CCUACGGGAGGCAGCAGUGGGGGAUAUUGCACAAUGGGGGGAACCCUGAUGCAGCGACGCCGCGUGGGUGAAGAAGCGCCUCGGCGCGUAAAGCCCUGUCAGCAGGGAAGAAAAUGACGGUACCUGAAGAAGAAGCCCCGGCUAACUACGUGCCAGCAGCCGCGGUAAUACGUAGGGGGCAAGCGUUAUCCGGAUUUACUGGGUGUAAAGGGGGCGCAGACGGCGAUGCAAGCCAGGAGUGAAAGCCUGGGGCCCGAACCCGGGACUGCCCUUGGAACUGCGUGGCUGGAGUGCAGGAGGGGCAGGCGGAAUGCCUGGUGUAGCGGUGAAAUGCGUAGAUAUCAGGAGGAACCCCGGUGGCGAAGGCGGCCUGCUGGACUGCAACUGACGUUGAGGCCCGAAAGCGUGGGGAGCAAACAGGAUUAGAUACCCUAGUAGUC